rnacentral:lncRNA from 1 species
AAUGGAGGAGCCUAUGGGUACCUCUCCUGGAGUGUACUCUGCGUGGAAUACAACAAACUGAGGCAAGGAGGGGGUAAGGAGGAAGAUUCUCACGCUAGGCUUGAUGGUUUAAUUUGAGGCCAAGUCAACCAAAUUUAAGGGGAGCUAGGUGGCUCAGUAAAUGACGUGCCAGGUCUGGAGUCAGAAAGACAUCUUUCUGGGUUCAAAUUACUAGCUACUUGGCUCUAGGCAAAUCACUUAGUAUCUUUGAUACUCAAGAUACACCAGUAUCUUUGCCAAGAAAACCUUAAAUGGGGUCUCAAAGGAUCAAACACAACUGAGGUGACUGAGCAACACUCCAUUUUAUUUGUCUAUCACACUGUCAGAUUCAGUAGGUAAGUUAUCACUCUUGGGGAGGCCAUUCCUGACCUCUUUCCAACUGUCUCCCAACUGUCAUUUCAAGAACUUUGUGGCUGAAGCUUCUAGUUGUCAUCUCUAAUUUCCUGGACAUCUUUUGACAGGAUCAGGAAUAUUCUCUGCAGAUCUAGGAAAGAAUCAGUCAUCCUUGUGAUUAAGGAGACGGUGAGCCAAUCCUUUGAACUGCGCAUCCUCACAGAGAGCAGGUCUCAAGUAAUAAUCUGGACUGAAAUCUUCUACACAGACUUAUUCAAUCUUGGCUCUCUACAGAUUUGCUUUUUUCUGGUUAUUUUCUAGCAAAAACAAAGCCCUUAAAUUGUUAUCUGAAUAGUGUUUAUUUUUCUUUGGAUAUGUGGCAAACCUCCCAGUUUUAGCAAAAGAGAUAUUUCUACUCCCCACAAUAUGAAAAAGAUUAGCAUUAUUAAUUAUAUUAAUAUUAAUAGACUUUGAGUGUUGUGCAUUAACUUGAUCAGUGCUGUAGCAGAAAGAGGUCUGGCUUUCAAGUCAAGAAGCCCUGGGUUCAAAUCCCACUUGGAAUUUGAUGCCUCUUGAGCAAGUCACUGAAUCUGCAGUCAAGUAACAGAUGAGAGAAUUGAAUUAAAAGAUUCUGCAGUUCCUUGUAAUUCUAAUUCUAUGAUCCUUCAGCCUCAUAAACAAGUU